GACGAACGCUGGCGGCGUGCUUAACACAUGCAAGUCGAACGGUGAAGCGCCUUCCUUUUUGGUGGGUGUGGAUGAGUGGCGAACUGGUGAGUAACACGUUAGUAACCUGCCCCCUUUUUCUGGAUAACCGCAUGAAAGUGUGUCUAAUACGGGAUAUUCUGCGUCUUUCGCAUGAUUGGUCUGGGAAAAAUAUUGUUUAGGUGGGGGAUGGGCUCGCGGCCUAUCAGCUUGUUGGGGGGUUGAUGGCCUACCAAGGCGGUGACGGGUAGCCGGCCUGGGAGGGUGGACGGCAACACUGGGAAGGCGACACGGACAAGACUCCUACGGGAGGCAGCAGUGGGGAUUAUAGCACAAUGGGAGGAAGGAUGAUGCAGCGCCGCCGCGUGAGGGAUGGAGGCCUUAGGGUUGUGAACCUCUUUCGCAAGUGAAGCAGGCCUGCCUCGUUUGUGGGUGGGUUGACGGUAGCUGGAUAAGAAGCGACGGCUAACUACGUG
rnacentral:rRNA from 1 species